rnacentral:misc_RNA from 1 species
AACAAGGCGUACCUGCGGACCUGCGGAAGGAUCAUUACGAAAUUCUCGGGGGGCGCAGGCCGUGACAGGUCGCGCCCCCGCUGGAAGCGCCGGAAGGCGUCUGACAGCGCAACCCUUUGUGAAAUUCCCCCGUUGCUUCGGCAGCCCCUCCCAAGGAGCGGUAAGCCUGCCGGCGGCAUUGUGGAAACUCAUCCUGAAAACCUGCACCCUCUGUCUGAACAGCGCAGUCGAAUGACUAUA